rnacentral:rRNA from 1 species
ACUAAGCAUAUCAAUAAGCGGAGGAAAAGAAACCAACAGGGAUUGCCUCAGUAACGGCGAGUGAAGCGGCAUAAGCUCAAAUUUGAAAUCUGGCUCUUUCAGAGUCCGAGUUGUAAUUUGUAGAAGAUGUUUCGGGUGUGGUUCCGGUCUAAGUUCCUUGGAACAGGACGUCAUAGAGGGUGAGAAUCCCGUAUGUGACCGGUUACUUUCGCCCAUGUGAAACUCUUUCGACGAGUCGAGUUGUUUGGGAAUGCAGCUCAAAAUGGGUGGUAAAUUUCAUCUAAAGCUAAAUAUUGGCCAGAGACCGAUAGCGCACAAGUAGAGUGAUCGAAAGAUGAAAAGCACUUUGGAAAGAGAGUUAAACAGUACGUGAAAUUGUUGAAAGGGAAGCGCUUGCAAUCAGACUUGCGCCUAGUUGAUCAUCUGGACUUCUGUCCAGUGCACUCGAUUAGGCUCAGGCCAGCAUCAGUUUGAGUGGUUGGAUAAAGGCUUAGGGAAUGUGGCCCCUCUCGGGGGGUGUUAUAGCCCUAGGUGCAAUGCAGCCUACUUGGACUGAGGACCGCGCUUCGGCUAGGAUGCUGGCGUAAUGGUUGUAAGCGACCCGUCUUGAAACACGGACCAAGGAGUCUAACAUUUAUGCGAGUAUUUGGGUGUUAAACCCAUAUGCGUAAUGAAAGUGAACGGAGGUAAGAACCCUUAAGGGUGCAUUAUCGACCGAUCCUGAUGUCUUCGGAUGGAUUUGAGUAAGAGCAUAACUGUUGGGACCCGAAAGAUGGUGAUCUAUACGUGAAUAGGGUGAAGCCAGAGGAAACUCUGGUGGAGGCUCGCAGCGGUUCUGACGUGCAAAUCGAUCGUCAAAUUUGCGUAUAGGGC